ensembl:lncRNA
GUUCUGGAGUUCUGAUGCAGGUACAGUGUAAAAGUUCUGGAGUUCUGAUGCAGGUACAGUGUAAAAGCUCUGGAGUUCUGAUGCAGGUACAGUGUAAAAGCUCUGGAGUUCUGAUGCAGGUACAGUGUAAAAGUUCUGGAGUUCUGAUGCAGGUACAGUGUAAAAGUUCUGGAGUUCUGAUGCAGGUACAGUGUAAAAGUUCUGGAGUUCUGAUGCAAACGGAGUAGCAUUUGGGAGUUACUUGUAUAGUUUAGGUCAGAAACUGUACAAAAUGUUUGCAAUGCGCUCAUUAGUAUUUAAUUAGCAUCCUCUAUGAGGAUUCCUUAGUAGUUGUUAGCAUUUAGUUAGCAUCCUAUGAGGAUUCCUUC